rnacentral:rRNA from 1 species
GAUGAACGCUGGCGGCGUGCCUAAUACAUGCAAGUCGAGCGAACAGACGAGGAGCUUGCUCCUCUGACGUUAGCGGCGGACGGGUGAGUAACACGUGGAUAACCUACCUAUAAGACUGGGAUAACUUCGGGAAACCGGAGCUAAUACCAGAUAAUAUAUUGAACCGCAUGGUUCAAUAGUGAAGGACGGUUUUGCUGUCACUUAUAGAUGGAUCCGCGCCGCAUUAGCUAGUUGGUAAGGUAACGGCUUACCAAGGCAACGAUGCGUAGCCGACCUGAGAGGGUGAUCGGCCACACUGGAACUGAGACACGGUCCAGACUCCUACGGGAGGCAGCAGUAGGGAAUCUUCCGCAAUGGGCGAAAGCCUGACGGAGCAACGCCGCGUGAGUGAUGAAGGUCUUCGGAUCGUAAAACUCUGUUAUUAGGGAAGAACAAAUGUGUAAGUAACUAUGCACGUCUUGACGGUACCUAAUCAGAAAGCCACGGCUAACUACGUG